AGCUGAACAAGGCAAAACGAAAAAGAAUACAGCGUCUCUUUGUUUCAAUAUCCUAAAGAAGUAACCGACGCGGAACAACGAACUUCCCAUCUACUUUUCCAGUGCCAAGAUUAGAGAGAUAAUUUUCAACCUUCAGAGCUCCCCAUGACCUUGCUGAUAGAAGAGAUGAAAGAACUUUUAUAUAACAGACGAUGCUAGGAAAUAAAAUCAUUUCAUUAAGUUCCUCAUAAUUUUGACAACCUGAUCUUGAAAACAAAAUUUCCAAUCUAAGAUAGAUAACUAACACGGUAAUAAACAUUCUGGAAAAAUUCCGCCACUCUGAAGGCAGAGGCAACUUUUCGAAACUGCAAAACUAUU